rnacentral:rRNA from 1 species
UGGCGAACGGGUGAGUAAUGCGUGAGCAACCUGCCUUUCAGAGGGGGACAACAGCUGGAAACGGCUGCUAAUACCGCAUAACACAUCGGGGUGGCAUCACCCUGGUGUCAAAGGAGCAAUCCGCUGAGAGAUGGGCUCACGUCUGAUUAGCUGGUUGGUGAGGUAACGGCUCACCAAGGCGACGAUCAGUAGCCGGUCUGAGAGGAUGAACGGCCACAUUGGGACUGAGAUACGGCCCAGACUCCUACGGGAGGCAGCAGUGGGGAAUAUUGGGCAAUGGGCGAAAGCCUGACCCAGCAACGCCGCGUGAAGGAAGAAGGCUUUCGGGUUGUAAACUUCUUUUAUCAGGGACGAAGGAUGUGACGGUACCUGAUGAAUAAGCCACGGCUAACUACGUGCCAGCAGCCGCGGUAAUACGUAGG